rnacentral:rRNA from 1 species
UACGUAGGGUGCGAGCGUUGUCCGGAAUUAUUGGGCGUAAAGGGCUCGUAGGCGGUUUGUCACGUCGGGAGUGAAAACUCAGGGCUUAACCCUGAGCCUGCUUCCGAUACGGGCAGACUAGAGGUAUGCAGGGGAGAAUGGAAUUCCUGGUGUAGCGGUGAAAUGCGCAGAUAUCAGGAGGAACACCGGUGGCGAAGGCGGCUCUCUGGGCAUUACCUGACGCUGAGGAGCGAAAGUGUGGGGAGCGAACAGG